rnacentral:lncRNA from 1 species
UUUUUAAAAGAAAAGAGAGUAUGCUCUUUACAAACCAAGAUCGGCAAGAGAUUCAGAGUUUCGGACACACUCACAGUGAACUCAAGUCGCAAAUAUAACCACCAGUGCCCAGAGGCACUCACAGGCGAGUCGUGCAACCGCAACCGCAGCAGGGCCGAGGCGCUUCAGAAGACCACAGCGCCGGGGGCGGACACGGAUGGGCACGAGCACUCCCCGCCGGCCGUUCGCCAUGGCCGCGGCCGCUGCUGCCGGGACUAGCGCCACGAGAAGGCCUCGUGGGACGGCUUCGACGUAACGCCGGCGGCCUACUGCGUCCA